AGCCCUAAGCGGGUGGUAAACUCCAUCUAAGGCUAAAUAUGACCACGAGACCGAUAGCGAACAAGUACCGUGAGGGAAAGUUGAAAAGCACUUUGAAGAGAGAGUUCAAGAGUACGUGAAACCGUUUAGGGGUAAACCUGAGAAACCCGAAAGGUCGAAGGGAGAAAUUCAUUCGCGUUUCGACGUCGACGUCGGUCGGUCGUGUGACGGAGAACGACGUUCGUUCGUUUUCCGCUCCUUCAGGCCUAUUUGUGACGAUUCGACGACGAACGCGUGCACUUUUCUCCUGGUAGGACGUCGCGAUUCGUUGGGUGUCGGUCUACGGCUCGCGGUGGAGACCGUUUGUACGAUUUCAUCGUCGUACAGAUGGACCCGUGAUGUCCCGGCCGACUCGCUCGACGGUAUACGAAAGGUUUAAGGCCGCUCUCUCUCCACUUGUGGGGUAGAGCGUUCGACUCGUGGCAAGCCCGCCGGAUGCGUCGGCGAUCGGACCCCGUGCCGAUCCUGACCUCAGGUGACUGUUGGCCACGAAGUUCUCGAACAGACCUUCUCCUCCUCUUUAACCGAUCUGCGACGCUAUAGCUUUGGGUACUUUCAG
rnacentral:rRNA from 1 species